rnacentral:rRNA from 1 species
GACGAACGCUGGCGGCGUGCUUAACACAUGCAAGUCGAACGGAAAGGCCCUGCUUUUGUGGGGUUCUCGAAUGGCGAACGGGUGAGUAACACGUGAGUAACCUGCCCUCGACUUUGGGAUAACUUCAGGAAACUGGGGCUAAUACCGGAUAGGAGCUCCUGCUGCAUGGUGGGGGUUGGAAAGUUUCGGCGGGUGGGGAUGGACUCGCGGCUUAUCAGCUUGUUGGUGGGGGAGUGGCUUACCAAGGGUUUGACGGGUAGCCGGCCUGAGAGGGUGACCGGCCACAUUGGGACUGAGAUACGGCCCAGAGUCCUACGGGAGGCAGCAGUGGGGAAUAUUGCACAAUGGGGGGAAGCCUGAUGCAGCAACGCCGCGUGCGGGAUGACGGCCUUCGGGUUGUAAACCGAUUUCGCCUGGGACGAAGCGUGAGUGACGGUAAUGGGUAAAGAAGCACCGGCUAACUACGUG